AUUGAACGCUGGCGGCAUGCCUUACACAUGCAAGUCGAACGGUAACGCGGGGCAACCUGGCGACGAGUGGCGAACGGGUGAGUAAUGCAUCGGAACGUGCCUGGUAGUGGGGGAUAACUGCUCGAAAGAGCAGCUAAUACCGCAUACGACCUGAGGGUGAAAGGGGGGGAUCGCAAGACCUCUCGCUAUCAGAGCGGCCGAUGUCGGAUUAGCUAGUUGGUGGGGUAAAGGCCCACCAAGGCGACGAUCCGUAGCUGGUCUGAGAGGACGACCAGCCACACUGGGACUGAGACACGGCCCAGACUCCUACGGGAGGCAGCAGUGGGGAAUUUUGGACAAUGGACGCAAGUCUGAUCCAGCCAUGCCGCGUGCGGGAAGAAGGCCUUCGGGUUGUAAACCGCUUUUGUCAGGGAAGAAAUCUUCUGGGUUAAUACCUCGGGAGGAUGACGGUACCUGAAGAAUAAGCACCGGCUAACUACGUGCCAGCAGCCGCAGUAA
rnacentral:rRNA from 1 species